rnacentral:rRNA from 1 species
GACGAACGCUGGCGGCGUGCUUAACACAUGCAAGUCGAACGGAAAGGCCCUGCUUUUGUGGGGUGCUCGAGUGGCGAACGGGUGAGUAACACGUGAGUAACCUGCCCUUGACUUUGGGAUAACUUCAGGAAACUGGGGCUAAUACCGGAUAGGAGCUCCUGCUGAAUGGUGGGGGUUGGAAAGUUUCGGCGGGUGGGGCUGGACGCGCGGGUUAUCAGCUUGUUGGUGGGGUAGUGGCUUACCAAGGCUUUGACGGGUAGCCGGCCUGGGAGGGUGACCGGCCACAAUGGGACUGAGAUACGGCCCAGACUCCUACGGGAGGCAGCAGUGGGGAAUAUUGCACAAUGGGCGGAAGCCUGAUGCAGCAACGCCGCGUGCGGGAUGACGGCCUUCGGGUUGUAAACCGCUUUCGCCUGUGACGAAGCGUGAGUGACGGUAAUGGGUAAAGAAGCACCGGCUAACUACGUG